rnacentral:lncRNA from 1 species
GGGGCUGUAUGUCAAGUUACUAUAACCCACUAAUGAAGGCCAUAUGCCAAGCUAUUAUAACCCACUGGUGAAGACCAUAUGCCAAGUACUGUAACCCGUUAACGGAGCCAUACUAUAACCUACUAACGAAGGCCAUAUGCCAAGCUACUAUAACCCACUGGUGAAGACCAUAUGCCAAGUACUGUAACCCGCUAACGGAGCCGUAC